UACGGAGGGGGCUAGCGUUGUUCGGAAUUACUGGGCGUAAAGCGCGCGUAGGCGGACCUGCAAGUCGGGGGUGAAAGCCCGAGGCUCAACCUCGGAACUGCCUUCGAUACUGCGGGUCUCGAGUCCGGGAGAGGUGAGUGGAAUUCCUAGUGUAGAGGUGAAAUUCGUAGAUAUCAGGAAGAACACCCGUGGCGAAGGCGGCUCUCUGGGACGGUACUGGACGCUGAGG
rnacentral:rRNA from 1 species